CUUACUUUUCUUUGCAAAAACCCCUAAAAGUCGAGUAUAGCGGCAAUAUAGUCCGUGAGUUCACCAGAACACCCGACACGACUUCGUUCUAGCUACUGAAGUAGCUAUAGCAUGAUUAGUUACGGCGUUCUAGAAUGCUCAAGGCCAAGGGAAUAGGCAACUCCAGCUUUUAGUUUAUGUCUGCAGGGGAUGAUGGGAAGUAAGGUAUCAUAUUGCCGAUUAUGCUGAAAAUUUUCAAUAAAAACUACCGAAAUAUAUCAAUAUUUACAAGUAUAAGCUAUCACUCCGUGUUUACACGGCCACCAUUUUUAUUUUUGCAGCAUAAUCAGCAAUACGAUACCUUACCUCCCAUCGUCCCCUGCACGCAUAAACUAAAAGCUGGAAUUGCCUAUACUGCCCUCCCAAUAGACCUUUCUUAUAAUGGGUCAAAAACGCGGAAAAACCAUAGAUAUCUGAAAUCUGGAAAAUUUUGCAUGAGUGACAAUAUACAGGGUGUCCCCCAAAAAACGAACUACUGAAACAACGUAUUGUCAGAAUUUGAAUGCCUCAGCACUCUGCUGAACCCACACGUGCAUAAAAGCUUGACAUUUAGCAAAUAUAAAACAUUUUCCGUGUUGAUAUAUAGUUAUAUCAACACGGGUGGAAUUGGGAAAACGAGAAAUUGUAUGGAAACACGACGCCCGAAGGGCGGAGUGUUUUCAUACAAUUUCGAGUUUUCGAGUUUCCCCCAAAAACAUUCAGUUUUCGAGUUUCCCCAUUUCCCCAAUUCAUUUUCGUCUCUUGUAUAUUUGUAUUACUGGAUAUUUUAUUGUAUUGUAUUUGUAUAGUUAUUGUAUUCCACUCUUGAACAUAACGAUUGAAAAAAGAGAAUUGAAAAUAAUUAGUGUGAAAUUAUUUAGGUCUCAAUUUAU